AAAACGCCCUUUACUAUUCAAAACGUGUGACGGAUUGAUCCUUCCGUGCAAAAUGCUCUCCUAGACAUAAUGGAGAGGGGUGAUCUGUCGCUUAUUUGGCGUGUAUUGGGCCUAGACUACCGUAACGGUGCACAUGUAAGUAAGGUGGAUUGAGGUUAGGGACGAAUUGGUCCCUGGAUGGAAAGACGACGUCGUUUUUCUGUUUGUCCUAUUUGUUCAAAUGGAACUCGUUCGCCAUUACCGUUGUUCAUUUCUGUGAGUGGUUGAGUGUGGGGGUAUUGUGCAAGCUUAAAUGGCCAGUGACGGAGCCUCAUCCAGCUCACGACUCGUUCUUUGGGUGUCCAUUCUUUAAGCUGAAAAAUCCCAGUCACUGCAAGUUCUUCUUAUGGCUGGAUGACCUUGUUUCAACAAUAAGAGUCCUUGAAAAGUUUAUUACGGAGAACGAGGUUGAUGAUCUGAAAGUGUAUCUUGGGAAGAAGGUAGUGGAAUAGAAGCUAAUUGAUUUGGAGAAGAAGGUGUUGUAUCUUGAGAGGAAGAUGAAUGUUAAUCUGUAUUUGGUUAUUCUUGUAGUGGUUUCUGUAAUUUUUGCUUCUGUCAUUGUCAAUCUUGGCUGAAAAGUAGGUAAAAAAAAUGAUGUAAUGUAGUAUGGGAUGAGUUUCCAUUUUGUUGUAUGCUAUUCGAACAAAAAUAUUGUAAGCUAAAUUAUGAUAUAUUCAGCAAAGUGAUUGCCCUAA